rnacentral:tRNA from 1 species
GGGCCUGUAGCUCAGGUGGUGAGAGCGCACGCCUGAUAAGCGUGAGGUCGGAAGUUCAACUCUUCCCAGGCCCACCA